AAUAACUAUGUGAGAACAACUAAACCAAUAAAAGCACAAAAACUAAUACAAUCAGUAUAAUCUCCCUACAGUAACUAUUAACAGGCAUCAUUUAAGAUUAACUCAUGAAAUUAUAUGAUCUAGAGAUAGGAACUUAGAAGUAAAACUAAGAAUUAAUCAAACUAAAAGAAUAUGCAAAGGAAACCAAAUGCAUAAACAGAAAGGCCAGAACAAAACCAAAAUUCAAGACACAAGCCCUAUGUAAUUAAAAUUUGGUUUCAACAUUCUGCAGUUAGAUAAUUACGCUCAUCAAUCCACAGGAAACAAGAAAGAAAAUUAUUUGUAUAUAUUGCAAGAAGGGAAAAAGAGGUGUGCUUUAUUUGUAUAAAUUCCAGAAAUUGCAAACUUAUUCUUUAGAAAAUUAUUCAAUUAUUUUUUAG
rnacentral:misc_RNA from 1 species